rnacentral:rRNA from 1 species
CCUACGGGCGGCUGCAGUGGGGAAUAUUGGACAAUGGGCGAAAGCCUGAUCCAGCCAUGCCGCGUGUGUGAAGAAGGCCUUCGGGUUGUAAAGCACUUUCAGUGGGGAAGAAAGCCUUGGGGCUAAUACCCUCGAGGAAGGACAUCACCCACAGAAGAAGCACCGGCUAACUCCGUGCCAGCAGCCGCGGUAAUACGGACGGUGCGAGCGUUAAUCGGAAUUACUGGGCGUAAAGCGCGCGUAGGCGGUCUGAUAAGCCGGUUGUGAAAGCCCCGGGCUCAACCUGGGAACGGCAUCCGGACCUGUCAGGCUAGAGUGCAGGAGAGGAAGGUAGAAUUCCCGGUGUAGCGGUGAAAUGCGUAGAGAUCGGGAGGAAUACCAGUGGCGAAGGCGGCCUUCUGGACUGACACUGACGCUGAGGUGCGAAAGCGUGGGUAGCAAACAGGAUUAGAUACCCUAGUAGUC